UACGUAGGGUGCAAGCGUUGUCCGGAAUUAUUGGGCGUAAAGAGCUCGUAGGCGGUUUGUCGCGUCUGCUGUGAAAACCCGAGGCUCAACCUCGGGCCUGCAGUGGGUACGGGCAGACUAGAGUGCGGUAGGGGAGACUGGAAUUCCUGGUGUAGCGGUGAAAUGCGCAGAUAUCAGGAGGAAUACCGGUGGCGAAGGCGGCAUCCUGGACCGACAUUGACGCUGGAUGA
rnacentral:rRNA from 1 species